rnacentral:lncRNA from 1 species
UACGUUACACAUGAAUUUUUGAACCAAAAUCAACCAAACUCAUUUAUACUCUGUACAAACAAAAUCGAUCAGAAAACAAAUCUAGCAGCUGCCCACACAUCCACAUCUGUGGCACUCGUGAGCAACAUUGCAUUUGUUGGGAACAAUUUUCACCACAAAAUGGAGUAAGAAAUAGAGAGACGAAGCAUUGGAAUUCACGAAGAAAAUGGAUAGGAGUCAAAUCGUGCCACACUCGUACUCAUGAGAACUCACGAGCCUGUUGCCAUGGCCGUUGCCAAGCAGUCACUAUAGGUGGAAGGGAGCAGCGAACAGAUGCCCUCGCUGAGAUGAUGUCGCCGCGGCACCGUGUGUAGUCGCAGCAAGGUACGGCGCCGUGGAGAGUCGCAGCCGUCGAUCUUGCUGCCGAUGUGAACGGAGCCGUACAGGAGACACCAGUGUUGCAUACCGUCGCCGAGGAGAUGGACGGGGGCACCACGGCCCCUGCGUGAGGCUCGCUAGUGGCUGAGAGAACCGCGCCGCCGCCCUGCGUUAUGUUCGCCGGUGGUGGAGAGCCCCGCGCCAUCGCCAUCGAUGUCGCCGGGAUAUUGGGAGGGCUCGGCUUACAGCAGUGGAAGUGACGAGAGCUCGGCACAGCCGCCGCCCAUGCGAUUGAGGAGAGAGAAAUGAGAUAUUAU